rnacentral:rRNA from 1 species
AUUGAACGCUGGCGGCAUGCUUUACACAUGCAAGUCGAACGGUAACAGGCCGCAAGGUGCUGACGAGUGGCGCACGGGUGAGUAAUGCAUCGGAACGUGCCCAGUCGUGGGGGAUAACUACUCGAAAGAGUAGCUAAUACCGCAUACGAUCUAUGGAUGAAAGCGGGGGACCGUAAGGCCUCGCGCGAUUGGAGCGGCCGAUGUCAGAUUAGGUAGUUGGUGGGGUAAAGGCUCACCAAGCCAACGAUCUGUAGCUGGUCUGAGAGGACGACCAGCCACACUGGGACUGAGACACGGCCCAGACUCCUACGGGAGACAGCAGUGGGGAAUUUUGGACAAUGGGCGCAAGCCUGAUCCAGCAAUGCCGCGUGCAGGAAGAAGGCCUUCGGGUUGUAAACUGCUUUUGUACGGAACGAAACGGCUCUGGUUAAUACCCGGGGCUAAUGACGGUACCGUAAGAAUAAGCACCGGCUAACUACGUG